UGAGCAAUCUGCCCUUCUCAUCGGAAUAAGCGUUGGAAACAACGUCUAAUGCCGAAUACGACCUCCUUUCGCAUGAUCGGAGGUGGAAAGCUCCGGCGGAGAAGGAUGAGCUCGCGGCCUAUCAGCUAGUUGGUGAGGUAAUGGCUCACCAAGGCGACGCGGUAGCCGGCCUGAGAGGGUGACCGGCCACACUGGGACUGAGACACGGCCCAGACUCCUAGGAGG
rnacentral:rRNA from 1 species